UCAGUAGGGCACGGUUAGUACUUGGAUGGGUGACCGCCUGGGAAUGCCGUGUGCUGUAGGCA
rnacentral:rRNA from 1 species